AGCGGUUCGGUAAAACGAGUAUUGCGUCAUAUCUGGCGAUCUCACUUCCAGCGUCUCGUUGUGUUGCACGAGAGGUAACUUCGUUUGAGCUGGCGUUCGGGUGAGUGCAUGUUGCACCCAUAGACUAACAACCGUUGCUUUGCCGUUGCGCUCCUCUGGAUGUGCAAACUCCAUGUGACGUCUUUGUGGUUGAAUUCUGCUGUUGGAAUGUGAUCGAACAGAGGGGUGGCUGCCGUAUGGAUGUGUUUUGCACGAUUUGGUAUGUAUAACCUCCUAUUUCCCUUUUUGUCCUCAUGAAGGUAAAUGGGGCUAUAAUUCGUUUGUGUUUUAGGAAGUGAAAUCAUUCUGUGAGUGGGCUUGUUUCAAUCCCAGUUACAACUUGAUUUCAGCAUGGCUGGCACCUUCAACACUGCCAUUUUGCUUUAAUUCUGUUUUGUUUAAUGAUUUGGGUUGUAUGUAUUGAUGUUGUGUAAGCCUUUUUCCCUGUUCUUUUGUGUUUUCAUUUUUGUUCUUUUUUUUCUCUUCUGUUGUUAAUAUUCAUUUUGCUUUUGUUAAAUGCAUGCUGUGCACCUGUUAGCAUUGCAUUUGCUAACGCUCGUUUGGUCUUGUGUUUGAUGUACAUCUGUGUUUUUUUUGUUUUUGUUUAUUUUGGUUGCAUUUAUUCUUCUUGUUUUAUAUUUUUGUAACGUCGGCUUGGUAUUUCAUAAUUUGUCCUGUUAUUUCUUUUGUUGUUGUAACCUUUUCUUUUUUUUGUACUGGAGCUGGGGCCUGGAGAGGGCAGGCUGACCCUUCCCGUGUGGUUAUCUCACUGUUCACUAGAGUGGUGUGGAGUUGCCGUGAAUUCUUUGGAGAGUGAGUGGUUUGAGGCACGUGUGUGUGUGGUUAUCAUUAUUACUAUUACGGGCAUUCUUGAAGCCCGGUGUCCAGCCUGCCACCUUAGUAGUAAGCCCCAGCUCUUUUGUUGGGGUGUUUGUUUUCUUCUCUUGUUUGUUUUGCAGCAGGUGGUGCUGCUUGCUGUGUGGAAUCUCCUUGUGGUUACGUAUGACUCAUUGAACGAGACCAUCUUGUUUUUUUAUUGUUUGUUAAAUAAAGAUGUACAAGUUUUAUACAAGGUA